rnacentral:lncRNA from 1 species
AAAAGAAGUAAACAAUCUUUUGUUUUUUCUACCUCACUACAACAUCUCUCACACUCUAUUUUUCUUCACAAACUAUUUUCUUAUAAUUUAUGGAAUACCUUACUCUCUUUUUUCUCUCUUUGUUGGUGUGUUGAAAUGAGAGUUGAAGCUCUCCUUUUAUAACCAAAGUUUCACUCUCUAAAGCCUACAAUAUUUGACAAUUUACACACAUUUUUUACAAUUCAACAAAGUUGGCUACCAACCCAAAGAAAUUCAACAAGAUUGGUUACCUAACCAAACUAAUUCAACAAAAUUGGUUACCUAACCAAACUAAUUCAACAAAGUUGGUUACCUAAUCAAAUCAAGUCAACAACUUUGGCUACUACAUAUGAGGCUGGACCCGUACCAAAUAAUUCAACAAGGUUGGAUACCAAACCAAACCAAGUCAAUAAAAUUGGCUACCAAAUCAUUUGAAUGAGAUAGACACCAUAUCAUAUACACAAUCAGAUCAAUACAGAUAAAUAUCUAUGAUAAGCAUCUAUAGGUAACCUGAUGAAAAUUGUAACUAAUGUGAUAGUGUUAAAAAUCUUUAAGAUAUCAGUAUAUAUAACUUAAAUCAUAUAUGCAUACAUAUGGUAUAUAGUAAAUCAAAAAAAAAACCGAGUAAAUAAAACUACAUUACUCAAAUCCAAAGGUGUAAAUUGCGAAAACUAAC